rnacentral:lncRNA from 1 species
CAAUAUAAAAGCACUUAUGAAAUCUUAUUUAUAGAAAUCAUCUAUAUAACUCAUUAUAUAAAAUCAUUCAUGAAAGAAAGUCCACUCACAGUUGGUCCGAGCUAGCUGGACCCUUCGAAGGUCCCUCCUGCGGGUCGAUCGGACCCCUGGUGCCUCACACGACUGAUUUGGUGGCCGGAUGAGGGAGAAACUGAGGUUGGAAAAUCUGCCAAAACUGCUGCGUUUUUCAGCAGUUUCCGGCGGCUCCAGACAGCAGCAGGGGCGGCGGACGGGCUGGGGUUGAUGGCGGGAGCUGGCCGGUGCUGCUGGGUCCGGUCCGGAGGGUCAGGGUGGCGUGAGGUGGCGUCGGGGUGGCUUGGAAGGUGGCGGCCCGACUAGUUUUCUCAAACUGUCGGGAGAGAGAGAGAGAGAGAGAGAGAUAGAGAGAGAGAGAGAGAGAGA